rnacentral:rRNA from 1 species
UACGUAGGGGGCAAGCGUUGUCCGGAUUUACUGGGCGUAAAGGGCGCGUAGGCGGUCGUGACAAGUCACUUGUGAAAUCUCCGGGCUUAACUCGGAACGGUCAAGUGAUACUGUCGGACUAGAGUACAGAAGGGGCAACUGGAAUUCUCGGUGUAGCGGUGAAAUGCGUAGAUAUCGAGAGGAACACCAGUAGCGAAGGCGGCUCGCUGGGCCAUUCCUGACGCUGAGACGCGAAAGCUAGGGGAGCGAACAGG